AUUGAACGCUGGCGGCAGGCCUAACACAUGCAAGUCGAACGGUAACAGGAAGAAGCUUCCUUCUUUGCUGACGCGUGGCGCACGUGUGUGUCAUGUCUGGGACACUGCCUGAUGGAGGGGGAUAAUUCCUGGAACCGGGACCUAAUCCCGCUUAACUUCUCAACCCCAAAGUUCGAUAGCUUCGGACCUCUUUGCUGCCGCUGUUCCCAGGUGCCGCGCCGGAUUAGCUAGGUGGUAGGGUAACGGCUUACCUAGGCCACGAUUCGUAGCCGAUCUGAGAGGAUGAUCGGCCACACUGGAACUGAGACACGGUCCAGACUCCUACGGGAGGCAGCAGUGGGGAAUAUUGCGCAAUGGGCGCAAGCCUGAUGCAGCAAUGCCGCGUGUAUGAAGAAGGCCUUCGGGUUGUAAAGUACUGUCAGCGGGGAGGAAGGGAGUAAAGUUAAAAUCUUUGCUUAUUGACGUUACCCGCAGAAGAAGCAACGGCUAACUCCGUG
rnacentral:rRNA from 1 species